rnacentral:rRNA from 1 species
GUGAACGCUGGCGGUAGGCCUAACACAUGCCAGUCGAACGGCAGCACAGUAAGAGCUUGCUCUUACGGGUGGCGAGUGGCGGACGGGUGAGGAAUACAUCGGAAUCUACUUUUUCGUGGGGGAUAACGUAGGGAAACUUACGCUAAUACCGCAUACGACCUACGGGUGAAAGCAGGGGAUCUUCGGACCUUGCGCGAUUGAAUGAGCCGAUGUCGGAUUAGCUAGUUGGCGGGGUAAAGGCCCACCAAGGCGACGAUCCGUAGCUGGUCUGAGAGGAUGAUCAGCCACACUGGAACUGAGACACGGUCCAGACUCCUACGGGAGGCAGCAGUGGGGAAUAUUGGACGAUGGGCGCAAGCCUGAUCCAGCCAUACCGCGUGGGUGAAGAAGGCCUUCGGGUUGUAAAGCCCUUUUGUUGGGAAAGAAAAGCAGCAGGUUAAUACCCCGCUGUUCUGACGGUACCCAAAGAAUAAGCACCGGCUAACUUCGUG